UCUACUUGAUGAUGUUAUGACUGCCUAAAGGAUUCUCAAUACCAGCUGUUCCUCUCCCAUAUGCUUAAUGCUAGCACUGAUUAGACUCAACUCAGAGUCCUUGUUUCUGUUCAGUGAUGAGCAGAUCUGGGGGCUAAGUUUUAGACCUGAUAUGGGAACAGUACUGCAGUGCAAGACAACAAAGAGGCAGCAGCACAGAGGUUCCUCACUAUCCAGUGAAAUCACCAAGAGCUGAGCUGAGUGGGGAAGCCCAAAAUGCAGCAUUACAGAAGUGGGAGCGAGCGGCAAGCUAAGCAGCAGUGAAAACAGUGGCAGAGAUGAAUGGCAGCAAAGAUAACAGUGACAGCAGCAGUGCAGACAUUAACCAAUGCCCCCUCCCCACUUCCAGGGCUGGCAGGUGGACCCAUAUGAAUGCACCUCUCAACUCUGAGUCUUCACUGAAUAUUGAACCCGGCCCUUUCUGCUGCCGAUUCCACCUGUCAGAAGGGUUACACCGGAUAUAACUACGGAAGACCAUAUUUCCCAGAAGGAAAACAGGACACCCCAACCACUUGCCCAAGUUGCCCCUGGCCCCUGCCCAAGGCUGUUGCUCACUCACUGGAAUCCUGCCGGCUCCUCUGCACGAGGCUGUUGCCGUCCCCCCGCAUACUGGAAUGCUGCCUUCCCCCCAACCCUACCUCCCUCCUCCCCCACAUGCGGGGCUAGCAUAUCCGCUCAUACCCCUUCCUCCCCUCCCUGCACGUUCCUCUG